UACGGGGGGGGGCAAGCGUUGUUCGGAAUUACUGGGCGUAAAGGGCUCGUAGGCGGCCAACUAAGUCCGACGUGAAAUCCCCAGGCUUAACCUGGGAACUGCGUCGGAUACUGGUUGGCUUGAAUCCGGGAGAGGGAUGCGGAAUUCCAGGUGUAGCGGUGAAAUGCGUAGAUAUCUGGAGGAACACCAAUGGCGAAGGCAGCUCGCUGGGACGGUACUGACGCUGAGGCGGCGAAAGCGUGGGGAGCAAACAGG
rnacentral:rRNA from 1 species